rnacentral:misc_RNA from 1 species
UACUCUCAAUCCAUUCAAUAUUGUCAAAUGUAUUGGAUUGGUAUUGGAUGUGGAGGAUUUUUUUUUUUGCUGGUCUCUUUAUUGAGUAUCAGCUCCUCUGAAAUGCAUUAGUGUGAAUGUUUACCGAGCAUUUUCUCAGUGUGAUAAUUAUCUACGCUGUGGCUGCUUGGAUCUCAUAAAUUUCAUGCUUCAAACCGUCUGCCUUGGUGGACAACUUAUUUUGAC